GACGGAGGAUGCAAGUGUUAUCCGGAAUCACUGGGCGUAAAGCGUCUGUAGGUGGUUUAAAAAGUCUACUGUUAAAAAUUGAAGCUUAACUUCAAAGGUGCCGUAGAAACUUUUAAACUCGAGGAUGGUAGGGGUAGAGGGAAUUUCCAGUGGAGCGGUGAAAUGCGUAGAUCUUGGAAAGACCACCAAUGGCGAAGGCACUCUACUGGGCCAUUACUGACACUAAGAGACGAAAGCUAGGGGAGCAAAUGGG
rnacentral:rRNA from 1 species